UGGGGCCUAAUACAGGCAGUCGAGCGAUCUGAGGGAGCUUGCUCCCAAAGAUUAGCGGCGGACGGGUGAGUAACACGUGGGCAACCUGCCUGUAAGACUGGGAUAACUUCGGGAAACCGGAGCUAAUACCGGAUAAUCCUUUUCUACUCAUGUGGAAAAGCUGAAAGAUGGCUUCGGCUAUCACUUACAGAUGGGCCCGCGGCGCAUUAGCUAGUUGGUGAGGUAACGGCUCACCAAGGCGACGAUGCGUAGCCGACCUGAGAGGGUGAUCGGCCACACUGGGACUGAGACACGGCCCAGACUCCUACGGGAGGCAGCAGUAGGGAAUCUUCCGCAAUGGACGAAAGUCUGACGGAGCAACGCCGCGUGAGUGAUGAAGGUUUUCGGAUCGUAAAACUCUGUUGUUAGGGAAGAACAAGUACCGUUCGAAUAGGGCGGUACCUUGACGGUACCUAACCAGAAAGCCACGGCUAACUACGUGCCAGCAGCCGCGGUAAUACGUAGGUGGCAAGCGUUGUCCGGAAUUAUUGGGCGUAAAGCGCGCGCAGGUGGUUUCUUAAGUCUGAUGUGAAAGCCCCCGGCUCAACCGGGGAGGGUCAUUGGAAACUGGGAGACUUGAGUGCAGAAGAGGAAAGUGGAAUUCCAAGUGUAGCGGUGAAAUGCGUAGAGAUUUGGAGGAACACCAGUGGCGAAGGCGACUUUCUGGUCUGUAACUGACACUGAGGCGCGAAAGCGUGGGGAGCGAACAGGAUUAGAUACCCUGGUAGUCCACGCCGUAAACGAUGAGUGCUAAGUGUUAGAGGGUUUCCGCCCUUUAGUGCUGCAGCAAACGCAUUAAGCACUCCGCCUGGGGAGUACGGCCGCAAGGCUGAAACUCAAUGGAAUUGACGGAA
rnacentral:rRNA from 1 species